AGCUUGCUUCUCUGAUGUUAGCGGCGGACGGGUGAGUAACACGUGGAUAACCUACCUAUAAGACUGGGAUAACUUCGGGAAACCGGAGCUAAUACCGGAUAAUAUUUUGAACCGCAUGGUUCAAAAGUGAAAGACGGUCUUGCUGUCACUUAUAGAUGGAUCCGCGCUGCAUUAGCUAGUUGGUAAGGUAACGGCUUACCAAGGCAACGAUGCAUAGCCGACCUGAGAGGGUGAUCGGCCACACUGGAACUGAGACACGGUCCAGACUCCUACGGGAGGCAGCAGUAGGGAAUCUUCCGCAAUGGGCGAAAGCCUGACGGAGCAACGCCGCGUGAGUGAUGAAGGUCUUCGGAUCGUAAAACUCUGUUAUUAGGGAAGAACAUAUGUGUAAGUAACUGUGCACAUCUUGACGGUACCUAAUCAGAAAGCCACGGCUAACUACGUGCCAGCAGCCGCGGUAAUACGUAGGUGGCAAGCGUUAUCCGGAAUUAUUGGGCGUAAAGCGCGCGUAGGCGGUUUUUUAAGUCUGAUGUGAAAGCCCACGGCUCAACCGUGGAGGGUCAUUGGAAACUGGAAAACUUGAGUGCAGAAGAGGAAAGUGGAAUUCCAUGUGUAGCGGUGAAAUGCGCAGAGAUAUGGAGGAACACCAGUGGCGAAGGCGACUUUCUGGUCUGUAACUGACGCUGAUGUGCGAAAGCGUGGGGAUCAAACAGGAUUAGAUACCCUGGUAGUCCACGCCGUAAACGAUGAGUGCUAAGUGUUAGGGGGUUUCCGCCCCUUAGUGCUGCAGCUAACGCAUUAAGCACUCCGCCUGGGGAGUACGACCGCAAGGUUGAAACUCAAAGGAAUUGACGGGGACCCGCACAAGCGGUGGAGCAUGUGGUUUAAUUCGAAGCAACGCGAAGAACCUUACCAAAUCUUGACAUCCUUUGACAACUCUAGAGAUAGAGCCUUCCCCUUCGGGGGACAAAGUGACAGGUGGUGCAUGGUUGUCGUCAGCUCGUGUCGUGAGAUGUUGGGUUAAGUCCCGCAACGAGCGCAACCCUUAAGCUUAGUUGCCAUCAUUAAGUUGGGCACUCUAAGUUGACUGCCGGUGACAAACCGGAGGAAGGUGGGGAUGACGUCAAAUCAUCAUGCCCCUUAUGAUUUGGGCUACACACGUGCUACAAUGGACAAUACAAAGGGCAGCGAAACCGCGAGGUCAAGCAAAUCCCAUAAAGUUGUUCUCAGUUCGGAUUGUAGUCUGCAACUCGACUACAUGAAGCUGGAAUCGCUAGUAAUCGUAGAUCAGCAUGCU
rnacentral:rRNA from 1 species